rnacentral:rRNA from 1 species
GGGGCGGCAGGCUUGCCUGCCGCCGCCGGCGACCGGCGCUCGGGUGAGUAACACGUAUGCAACCUGCCCGUGGCAGGGGGAUAAGCGGGGGAAACCCCGUCUAAUACCGCGUAACGCGGCCUAGGGACAUCCCAAGGCCGCCAAAGGGAGCAAUCCCGGCCACGGAUGGGCAUGCGGCGCAUUAGCUAGUCGGCGGGGUAACGGCCCACCGAGGCGACGAUGCGUAGGGGUUCUGAGAGGAAGGCCCCCCACACUGGUACUGAGACACGGACCAGACUCCUACGGGAGGCAGCAGUGAGGAAUAUUGGUCAAUGGGCGCGAGCCUGAACCAGCCAAGUCGCGUGAGGGAGGACGGCCCUACGGGUUGUAAACCUCUUUUGCCGGGGAGCAACGGGCGCCACGUGUGGCGCCACUGAGAGUACCCGGAGAAAAAGCAUCGGCUAACUCCGUGCCAGCAGCCGCGGUAAUACGGAGGAUGCGAGCGUUAUCCGGAUUUAUUGGGUUUAAAGGGUGCGUAGGCGGAUCGUUAAGUCAGUGGUCAAAUUGAGGGGCUCAACCCCUUCCCGCCAUUGAAACUGGCGCUCUUGAGUGGAAGAGAAGUAUGCGGAAUGCGUGGUGUAGCGGUGAAAUGCAUAGAUAUCACGCAGAACCCCGAUUGCGAAGGCAGCAUGCCGGCUUCCUACUGACGCUGAAGCACGAAAGCGUGGGGAUCGAACAGGAUUAGAUACCCUGGUAGUCCACGCG